AUUAAAGUAUGAACUUUCCUCAAACCAUUACGUGUGCAUGAACUCAAACAAAUGCAGUCCAUGCGUCUGUAUCGAUUCGCUUGAUCGAGUCAUUUAUGUUUCGUCCCGAAAAAGAUCCGAAUCGUUUGUGAAUCUCAUCACUGUUACGGGAGGAGAGAAGAGAUCCUCUUCCCUCAACACAGAAUGGCUGCUUCUUAAUCAAUUAGUUCCAGCGUUUGUACCUCUCUCUCUGGAUUGAUGUCAUCCUACAGUCUCUUCUUGAGCAAGGCGUGGUUCCUGCUCAUCAUUGCUGUUUUCCCAUUAAUGAUCUCUGUUCUGCCUUUUUCCACGCACAUGAGGAGAUAGCGUUUGGACUCAAGGUUUCAUUGACUCUCCUGCUGUUUUUUUCAGCUGUAAUUCAUAACGUGCUCUGUGACCUUCUCCCUCCCUCAGGACUCUGUGGUCUGUGUGUUCUGGUAUCUGCUGAGUCACCAGAAAUCUGCCAAAACACUGACACUUGCGCCUGCUUCAACAUCUGGCGCAUAAGGGCUUUAAGGUUUCCAGAACCAAGCUGCAAUAUUGCAUGGACACUUAAGUAUUUGAACUUUUGAAGUUUUGAACUUUCUCAAGGCUGUCAUUCUAGACACAAAACGCCCUGCAACUAAACAUGCACUGAGGUCUUUUCUGGGUCAGAAAAUGGAUCCCUGACUGCUCUUUAUAUGACAAGCUUCUCCGUUCUGCAAUCUUUCAUCACGAUCCACUGCAACAUCCUUUGACCUGGACUGACACUAUGGUGGUCGCUUAUCACUCCCUCAGAAGUGCCCUUUGUUCCACCCCUGGGGUUACCUGAUCACUUCAAGCCCUUCCACCUCUAUGCCUGUGAACACCAGGGCACGGCCUCUGGGGAGCAUGGGGGGGAUUGCAGCAUUGUGUGUUUUUAUCCAAAACAUUAGACAUUGUUGCUCAAGGCUUACCUGCGUGUCUAGGGGCUGUCUCUGCAUGUGCUCUGAUGGUUUUAGAUGUGGAAAAAUUGGUUUUGUCUCACCCACUGAUCUUGCACUCGUCACAUCAAGUUAAACAGGUGUUGCAAAAUUUACAGACCCAUUAAAUUAAUUUAUCAGUAAUUUAAUUGAUAAUUAAAUUAACAUAUGACUAUUCUCUGUUCUAUUAACAAUCUCGAAAUUCGUGUCUUUUGAUAAUGUAGGUCACGCUCUCGCACGCCUCCUUAAUUCUCGGGAUGAUACUUGGGAUGACAUUGAUAUUAGCUGUCUAAAAAUCGUACAUACUACUAGUAUCAGGUCUGAUCUCUCCUCCAGCCCUAGCAGUCCCAGCAUUUUUCUGUCUACCUAGAAGACCCACAUGGGGCCAUUUGGCCCGACCGCUUUUCCCCAAUACACUAAUCACUCAUUUUGUUAUGGUAAUGAGGCUGUUAGUGGCAGUGUGUGGGGUGAGGGGGUCACAUUUCACACACUUCAGACUUCAGUGGUGAAGUCAUGUUGGCUACUUCUGUGUGAAUGUGAGAAUGAGGAAUAAAAACACAUUCUAUUCUAAAAUGUGAACAUGUGAAUGUCCCAUGUGACCAUAACGACUCAUGUGACUGCAACCAGACAAUUGUUUGAUGGAUAAAUACCUCAGUGCACAUGGACUAUCGCUUCAGUUCCCUCAAGAAUUUUGUGGUGAAAGAAGCUCCUCUCCAAGGAACGAAGAUGCAGAGAUUCAACAUUCAACAGGCAUUGUAAGAUUUCAUUUCUAAGCUGUAAGGUAACUAACAGCCACAUUUCCAUAACAAAAUGAAUGUCUACAGGGAGGACUUGGGGCCAAUUGGCCCUCUUGUGGGUUUUCUAGGUAAAAAAGGCCAAAUGGCCCCUCUCUGGGACUUCUAGUGCUAGGGAUGGGGGAAGUACUCUUUGUUCAUGGUUCUUGUUCUAAACGGUUCUUGUUUUAUAAUUUAUAAUAUUUAUCAUACCUCUGUGGUUACUCUGUGUGUUCACUGCCUGAUAUUCUGCAUGAGACAUACGCUCUUCCUUUCUCAUUUGAUUUUUGUCAUCUUGAUUGUGGACAAAUUCUCUAAAUGGGUAGAAGUUUUUUCCUGUUCUCGAGAGAACACGAAGGUAGUUACUCGUAUUCUGGCAAAAGAAAUAGUACCUAGUUAUAAUAAUAAUACUAAUACAUUUUAUUUAUAAGUGCCUUUCAAGGUACCCAAGGACACUGGACAGUAAAAAAGAAAAACAAACAAUAAAAGCAGAACAAUAAAAUAACAAUAAAAUAAUAAGAAAUCAAUAAUAAUAAUUAUUGUUAUAGUUAUGGGGUUUCAAAUGCCAUAGACUCAGACAAAGGUACCCCUUUCACCUCAAAAGUCACACAAAACCUUUGUAAGUAUCUCUAAACUACGUAAACUGGUGUUUUCACAUUCCUCAAUCCUCUGGUAUCGUAGAACGUACUAAUCGAACAUUGAAAGACAAAUUAAUUAAGGUCAUGCAGGACACAGGUUUGGUUCUGUAAUCCAUAAUUCAUUCUGGCUGAAAUUCGUGUGACACCAAGAAAUUAUUUUGGAAGACCUUUCCCUCUCCCCUGGAAGAAGGGAACUCCGGCUCCGGGUACCUCUGAUUUGAAAAUGCAUAUGGAUGAGUAUUCUGUAGCCCUUAUAGAUAAGUUGCAUAAAAUUUGUACCAAGGUCAAUAAUACAAUAUUAUCUCCACCACACACCCCUUCCAAGUUGGAGACAAAGUGCUGGUGUGACUUUUUAAAGUAACGAUUUGGACAAUUGGGAGAACAAUAUAGUGGGCCUGCAGACAUAGUCGCCAUUACUUUUACUGCUGUUUUAACUGAUCUUUUUCCACAGUGGAUCCAUGCCACGCGAUUGAAGAAGGCUCCAUAACAAAGUUGUGUUACAAUGACAAGUUUGCUACUAGCGUUUUCUCUGUGUCCCUUUCCAGUCACUGUUCUCUCUCUCUCUGUCUCUCUAUUUCUGAGCUCUACACAGAUUUGACUGAGAAUCCUCAAGACGUUGUGAACAAAGAGGGGAAGAGAUCUUGCGCUCCGUUUGGAACCAGUCAUCCUCACUACAACCAUGACAGUCCUCAUCACGGGUUUCGUGACUUCAUUGUUGCUCGGGGCAGGGCUACCCACCCGAGCCUUCGUGACUGCUUCAUCUUUGCUCGGGGCAGGGCUACCCGCCCGAGCCUUCAGGACCACUUCAUUGUUCGGAGCAGGGUUACCCGCUCGAGCUGGACUUCGAGACAACAUCUUCUGGCAACUUGCUAACUGGACUGCACAAGCGCACACCACACGAAUGUGUUAUGUCUUUCAUCUGAUGCCAUUUUCUACUAUUAUUACACAUCUCUAUGCUCUGAAACUCUGUAUUCUUACAGGACUGUUUUCAUUAUAGGUCGAUAUGCCUUCUAAUUUCAUUUUCCCUCACUGUUUUAGAACAGAUUACUCUGAAGGAAGUAGCGUGUAUUUGGGACGAAUUAAGAGGUUUUGAGUUUCUCUAAGCUCUGGUGAGGUGGGACGAGGGCUGAUCGGGCAUGCCCGCCCUCUGAGCACCAAUAUACAUCAAGAAGGGCAAAGAUUAACUCAAGAUUAAUUCUCAAUGUAAUCUCAUAUAUGAUCAUGAGGUGAUAAUGAUCAUAUAUGAUCCUAGGAUUUGAUAAUAGUGAUACUAUUAUCAAAGGGGGGGGGAUUGUUAGGUUUAUAUAAGUAUUAUUCUUGACCAAGAAGGCAGUAAUUUGUGACAAAAUUAUAUUCUUAGUUGAAAUGACCUUAUGUCUCGGCUGGACAUUGUUUGGGAACAUUUUGUUUAUUUUGAUAUGAAAUGUGUAUUUUUGAUCAGAGAUGUGUCUGAACGGCGCCAAGGUCAGAUCAACCCACACACACCCGCACAGCUGCAUAGCUAGGAUUGUGAUUUAAGAGUGUUAGAGUUAACCAGUUUCUUUAAUGUUGAAUUUGAAGUUCAAAUGAUUGAAGGUUGGAUUUAAUUGUUAGAUCUAAGAUGCAUUUUGUGAUUUUAGUUUUAUAGUUUUAAGUUAGUUUUAUAAUUACAGAAUAUAAUUUAGGA